rnacentral:rRNA from 1 species
GAUGAACGCUGACAGAAUGCUUAACACAUGCAAGUCUACUUGAUUCUACUUCGGUAGUUGAUGGUGGCGGACGGGUGAGUAACGCGUAAAGAAUCUGCCCUUUAGUUUGGGAUAACCUUUGGAAACGAAGGCUAAUACCGAAUAUUAUGGAGAUGUCGCAUGACGACUUCAUGAAAGCUAUAUGCGCUAGAGGAGGACUUUGCGUCCCAUUAGUUAGUUGGUGAGGUAAUGGCUCACCAAGACCGCGAUGGGUAGCCGGCCUGAGAGGGUGAUCGGCCACAAGGGAACUGAGACACGGUCCUUACUCCUACGGGAGGCAGCAGUGGGGAAUAUUGGACAAUGGGCGAAAGCCUGAUCCAGCCAUGCCGCGUGUGUGAAGAAGGUCUUCGGAUUGUAAAGCACUUUAAGUUGGGAGGAAGGGCAGUAAGCUAAUACCUUGCUGUUUUGACGUUACCAACAGAAUAAGCACCGGCUAACUUCGUGCCAGCCGCCGCCGUAA